rnacentral:lncRNA from 1 species
AUUUAAUUCAAGCCUAACUCAGCCCCUAGUUCUCCCCACUUAAUGGCUGCUCAGAGGCCUGUGUAAACUUGUUCACUGGUCUCGGUCCAGUCAUUGGUGGCCAACUGUCCAUGACCAACGGCCCAUUGUUUGCCUGGGAGGCACCGACUGCUGACAUGUGUGUUUCGUGUUCCUCUCCUGAUAAUGAGCUCAGGUUUUUUCUUUUAUGCCAAACAAAAUGGUCUCUUCAUUGUUGAAAGGGCUGGUAAAUGCCAAGAGAAUUCUCCUGCUGUAAAUGACAUUUUUGCUCUACCACUUCUUUUCAUCCAACUGAGUGAGCUCCAGCUACGUCCGUGGAAACGACGGCAGACUUUAUUUUUGGGGGCUCCAAAAUCACUGCAGAUGGUGACUGCAGCUAUGAAAUUAAAAGACACUUGCUCCUUGGAAGAAAAGUUAUGACCAACCUAGACAGUGUAUUAAAAAGCAGAGACAUUACUUUGCCAACAAAGGUCCGUCUAGUCAAGGCUAUGGUUUUUUCAGUGGUCAUGUAUGGAUGUGAGAGUUAGACUGUGAAUAAAGCUGAGUGCCGAAAAAUUGAUGCUUUUGAA